rnacentral:sRNA from 1 species
AAUUCUCCCCAGUGGGGAAGGAUGAGAAGCUUCGACUAAGGUUCGAUUCGAGCGCAGCGAGAAAGCGUUGCCGCAGGCAACGACCCGAAGGGCGAAGCGCGCAGCGCUGAGUCAUCCUUCCCCCACCACCA